GGAUCGCGGCAAUGCGGUCGGCGCAAUGCGGUCCAAAAUUUCCUUCGGGAUGGUGAUGCGGUCGAGUGCGUUUUUUGCGCCAUCGCUGUUGUCGAUGGAGACGGCCGUCCAGCGCAGACCUGCGUCGUUGCGCGCCACUGCCGUGAACACGUGCGUGCCGAGCGGUUUGCCGGGAUCGCGGAUCGCGAUUGGAACUUCGAUGCUCGCAUCGAACACUUCGCCGCCGCCGUCC
rnacentral:misc_RNA from 1 species